rnacentral:rRNA from 1 species
UGGGGGAUAUUGCACAAUGGGCGAAAGCCUGAUGCCGCGACGCCGCGUGGGGGAUGAAGGCUUUCGGGUUGUAAACUUCUUUUGCUCUGAACAAGGCAUGCCUUUGGGGUGUGUUGAGUGUAGGGGUUGAUUAGCGCCGGCUAACUACGUGCCAGCAGCCGCGGUAAUACGUAGGGCGCGAGCGUUGUCUGGAAUUAUUGGGCGUUAAGGGCCUGUAGGUGGCUGGUUGCGUCUGUCGUGAAAGCUCAUGGCUUAACUGUGGGUUUGCGGUGGGUACGGGCUGGCUUGAGUGCAGUAGGGGAGGCUGGAAAUCCUGGUGUAGCGGGGGAAUGCGCAGAGAUCAGGAGGAGUACCGGUGGCGAAGGGGGGUCUCUGGGCUGUUACUGACGCUGAGGAGCGAAAGCGUGGGGAGCGAACAGG